CCAGCUGAGUGCAACAAAACACACCAGCCAAAUACAGAUGUUGUUUCUGAAAAUCAAGUACUUAUGUGGAAUGAUAUCAGCUAUUAAGAAAAGAAGAUACAAGCUCUGGAUGAUUCUCAGGGCUUUCUACGCAAUUCAAUGCAAAGCAACAACGCAUCCCCACUUAAAAGUGCAAGUCCCUAGUACCUGUGGAUGGCUGAUGAAUAGUAUUGCCAGGCCCUAGUACAUGGUAGAUGAUCGAUGUAGAGCCCCUGUAAAUCCUGAUUUAUCUAUGAAACAAUUGAUAAGGCAACAUUUGAUAUCUUAGUCCCUCUCACCUGGAAUUUAGUAAAGAGUGUUGCAGUAUAUAAAUGUACCGAAUUUUCUGGCACCAACCCGUGUGUCAGUCAUUAAUGGACUGUAUUUGGAUUGGUUUAAAUGAAGCUCCUCAUUUACUCUACAGUAAAUAUGGUGCUGACAAUAUUCUUCUUGGGGAUGUAGGAAAGCAAUCUAUGGAAUACUUGAGGACUAAUGCCAUUGUGUUUGCUAGGGACUUGUAAUAUACAAUGUGAAUUAUACAAUUUUAUCAAAUGGAAUGGAUUUUAUGUGUAGUUUUUUUAUUAAUCUGCCUUUUUACUUUUUUUCAUACUUUUCGUAUGAAUGAUCUUCUCUACAUGGGUAUUAAUACAAUAUAGUAGGAAAUUAUUAUAUAUUGUAUAAACCAAGCAGGCCCAAAACCAAUAAUCAGACUUGAAAAAAGAAUUUAAACUAGAAUUACCUACAGUACUUAAUGUACGUUAUCAUUAUUUGGUGCAAUUAUUUUGUACAACAAAACGAUUGUAGUCGUUUUGAAAUCAUCAAUUCUAAUUUUUUUUUUAAAGAAUACAUACACUGUUGACCUCCUAGAGUAAAUUUUGUACUCUUGUGAAAAUGAAGAACUCACCUUACAACAGAACAUGUAACUUCCAUGUGCAAAUUUUGCCUUGCAUUGGCAGUGAUCAGGGAUGAUCAAAUUACUCUUUGAUAUAAUUUGGCACCAUGCAUGCACCCUCGAGGAAACGGCCUCAGCUGAAAGCAGUCAAUUGGCCAAUUAAAAUGCACAUAUUCUCAUCAGAAACUGUUAAAAUAUUCAUGCAUGUGAAUUGUGAUGUGCACAAAUGUAAAUUUGAAGCACAGGGUUCAGGCCUAUGACAACAUGAGUAUAUUUGACUAUACAACUAGCAGAGCAAUUUACUCAUUUUGUAUCUCUGAUAUUCAAGCAAAAAGAUACCUUCUUGCUAGGACACUGUGUACUAUAGGUGAGGCAAUAAUGCGCUCUGAAUCUAGUUAUGUGUGGCAUGCUAUUCGUACACUCUCAUUUUUUAUAGGAUAUGGCAUUACACAAUGUUACUACACAUGGUACGUAGCAUUACACAGUGUUACAACACAUUGUACGUGGCGUUACACCGUGUUACAGCCCAUUCUAAUUGAUAGCUAACACAUACUGUAGAUUUAUGUCAGGUUAUUGAGAAAGGAAUUUGAUUGUACAUCAGGCAAAAUACACUAUGAAUAUAGUAAUAUAUGCCAACUUUAGCCAUAGUAUAAUCUGCAAAAUAUUUAAAAAAAAUGUAUCUUCAAAAACUUCAUAUUAUUUAGCUAAUCUUGUAAUAAAUUACAACCAACUGUACAUUCCAUCUACACUCUUAGAACUACUAAGAAGAACUUAAUCAUUGGGGAAAAAACAAAUGAUCCACUUUCAUUUGCUUGGAUGGAAUGUAAAUAUCAUCCAAAAAUGUUUUUUUUUUUAAAUUAAAGUUAUGCUUUAACAAAUUUUUAGAUGUCAAUAUGUAUUACUGUAUACCUUUGAUCACUAUUUUAGAAAAGCAAGUGACAUAAAUAUUUUUGCGUAAAUUUUGUAAGCAAUAUUAAAUAUCCGUAACAUGUUAAUGGUAUUGUGAUAGUAAUGAUAAUGAAAAGGAUACCUAUUGAGGUACCUUAACAACAAUGUAAGCCAAUAGGAAGGAAAUCAUAAAAGAGUAAUAUUCUACAGUAUCUAUCGAUUAUAGUUGUUAAGGUAAUUCUGUAUUCAGAUUGAGUUUUUGUUUUUAACAGCCUGCCAAACUACAUGUGUGAAUUUUUCGUAAUGCAAUACUGUAGCCACCUACAUUACUGUGCAUUUUACAGUCGGCGAAAGUGAAUACAAAAUGCAUUUGUUAUAAGUUAACUGUGACACGGGUCAAGAAAGCCAAUACUGAUACUUAUUUUUGUCAUCUAAUACUGUACGCAAGUUCAUAAUUAGAAAAAAAUUUGUCUCCUUUCAUAUUUAUUGUCCAAUUUUUUGCUUAGAUUUCUACCAAUAACAUUACUCUUGGACCAAUUCCAAAGGGUAUACUAAAGAAAGUAAACGAAUAUCGAGGCUAAAAUGUAGCAAAAAAGAAACAGCCCAAAUGCCUGUCCCGCAUGAUCUGUAAUGAAAAUUUAGGCUGAGCCCACAUUUUCAUCCAUCGUCAUAAGUCGGCUGGUACUUCAGCCAUCCAUUAGCCUCACUGAAUUCUUAUCUCUUUUAACAUUAUUUCGAAUGCUCCUCUAGGCUAAUAGCAUUAUCUUUUUGUCCAUCCUUCAAUUACUGUACGUUGAUAUCUAAAAUUCCGAAUCGUAAAUUUAAAUUGAUGAUUGUAGACUACAUUAAAUCUAGAUUCUCAUUUCCUGACGGUUACAUAAUUGAUGUUGCAUACAUUAAUCGUAAAAACAUUUUUCAAUUUGUUGAUGUCACUUCCUGAAUACUAGUCAAGUUGAUUGUUUAUGCAAACCACUCAUAAUGACAGAAAAUAAAAUAAUUCAUUUCUACAGUAUUUCUUUGUUUUUCUGUUUACUUCAGCUGAAGUUUAAAACUAAUAUGAAUUUUAGAAAAUUAAUAUUUAUUAAUAAUGAUGAAUACUGUCUAUUCAUAUAAUAUGGUUAAAUUUAAGUGGCAUGUUUAUAACAUAUUUAAUGUGUUUAAUUUUAAAGCAAUCUUUUGAUCACUAUGGCUUCACUUUACACUGGUUGACAAAAUGUUCCUGAUUUUAUUUUUUAAAUUUUGUUUGUUUAAGUGUAUUGUAUUUGUUGAUUAUCUGUUUUGUAUAUAUCAGUUUAAUAAAUAUUCAGUUACAAUAUUUUUAUGAA
rnacentral:lncRNA from 1 species